rnacentral:rRNA from 1 species
UUUUGGGCAAUGGGCGAAAGCCUGACCCAGCAACGCCGCGUGAGGGAUGAAGUAUUUCGGUCUGUAAACCUCGAAAGAAUGGGAAGAAUAAAUGACGGUACCAUUUAUAAGCUCCGGCUAACUACGUGCCAGCAGCCGCGGUAAUACGUAGGGAGCAAGCGUUGUUCGGAUUCACUGGGUUUAAGGGGGGCGUAGGUGGGUAUGUAAGUCAGUGGUGAAAUCCCCGAGCUUAACUUGGGAACUGCCAUUGAUACUAUAUAUCUUGAAUGUCGGAAGGGUAAGCGGAAUACGUCAUGUAGCGGUGAAAUCCUUUGAUAUUCCAUGGAACACCAAUUGCGAAGGCAGCGUACUAUGCCGUGAUUGACCCUGAG